ensembl:lncRNA
GUGUAGAGGCGGCAGGGUAGCCUAGUGGUUAGAGUGUAGAGGCGGCAGGGUAGCCUAGUGGUUAGAGUGUAGAGGCGGCAGGGUAGUCUAGUGGUUAGAGUGUAGAGGCGGCAGGGUAGUCUAGUGGUUAGAGUGUAGAGGGGGCAGGGUAGCCUAGUGGUUAGAGUGUAGAGGCGGCAGGAUAGCCUAGUGGUUAGAGUGUAGAGGCGGCAGGGUAGCCUAGUGGUUAGAGUGUAGAGGCGGCAGGGUAGCCUAGUGGUUAGAGUGUAGAGGCGGCAGGGUAGCCUAGUGGUUAGAGUGUAGAGGCGGCAGGUAGCCUAGUGGUUAGAGUGUAGAGGCGGCAGGGUAGCCUAGUGGUUAGAGUGUAGAGGCGGCAGGUAGCCUAGUGGUUAGAGUGUAGAGGCGGCAGGGUAGCCUAGUGGUUAGAGUGUAGAGGCGGCAGGUAGCCUAGUGGUUAGAGUGUAGAGGGGGCAGGGUAGCCUAGUGGUUAGAGUGUAGAGGCGGCAGGUAGCCUAGUGGUUAGAGUGUAGAGGCGGCAGGGUAGCCUAGUGGUUAGAGUGUAGAGGCGGCA